GAUGAACGCUAGCUACAGGCUUAACACAUGCAAGUCGAGGGGAAACGAUAUUGGAAGCUUGCUUCCGAUAGGCGUCGACCGGCGCACGGGUGAGUAACGCGUAUCCAACCUGCCCAUCACUUGGGGAUAACCUUGCGAAAGUAAGACUAAUACCCAAUGACGUCUCUAGAAGACAUCUGAAAGAGAUUAAAGAUUUAUCGGUGAUGGAUGGGGAUGCGUCUGAUUAGCUUGUUGGCGGGGUAACGGCCCACCAAGGCGACGAUCAGUAGGGGUUCUGAGAGGAAGGUCCCCCACAUUGGAACUGAGACACGGUCCAAACUCCUACGGGAGGCAGCAGUGAGGAAUAUUGGUCAAAUGGGGCGAGAGCCUGAACCAGCCAAGUAGCGUGAAGGAUGAAGGUCCUACGGAUUGUAAACUCUUUUAUAAGGGAAUAAAACUCCCACGUGUGGGAGCUUGUAUGUACCUUAUGAAUAAGCAUCGGCUAAACUCCGUUAGCCAGCAGCCGAC
rnacentral:rRNA from 1 species